rnacentral:rRNA from 1 species
UAAUACGGAGGGUGCGAGCGUUAUUCGGAAUUACUGGGCGUAAAGCGCGUGCAGGCGGGAAGGCAAGUCUGAUGUGAAAGCCCCGGGCUUAACCUGGGAAGUGCAUUGGAAACUGCCUUUCUUGAGUACUGGAGAGGAAGGGGGAAUUCCCGGUGUAGAGGUGAAAUUCGUAGAGAUCGGGAGGAAUAUCAGUGGCGAAGGCGCCCUUCUGGACGGAUACUGACGCUGAGACGCGAAAGCGUGGGGAGCAAACAGG